GACGGGGGAUGCAAGCGUUAUCCGGAAUCACUGGGAGUAAAGCGUAUGUAGGUGGUGAUGCAAGUCACUGGUGCAAAACUCUGGCUCAACCGGAGGAAAGCCAGUGAAACUGCAUGACUAGAGUGUGGGAGAGGUAGAAGGAAUGCCCAGAGUAGCGGUGAAAUGCGUAGCUACAGGGAAGAACACCGGAGGCGAAAGCGUUCUACUGGAACACAACUGACACUGAGAGACGAAAGCUAGGGGAGCGAAUGGG
rnacentral:rRNA from 1 species